GAUCCUGGCUCAGAAUAAACGCUGGCGGCGUGUCUUAAGCAUGCAAGUCGGACGGCAAGCCGCCUUCGGGCGGCCUAGAGUGGCGGACUGGUGAGUAACACGUGGGUGAUAUACCUUUUGGACGGGGAUAGCCCCUAGAAAUAGGGGGUAAUACCGGAUAAGGCCGUGCGGGUUGGAGCCGCACGUGGGAAAGGCGCUAUGGUGCCGCCGAAAGAAUAGCCUGCGACCUAUCAGCUUGUUGGUGAGGUAAACGGCCCACG
rnacentral:rRNA from 1 species